rnacentral:tRNA from 1 species
UCCCAGGUGGUCCAGGAGUGAGGACUCUGAACUCCCAGUGCAGGAUGCCCGGGUUCGAUCCCUGGUCAGGGAA